rnacentral:rRNA from 1 species
GUAACCUGCCUUAUACAGGGGGGAUAACAGUCAGAAAUGGCUGCUAAUACCGCAUAAGCGCACAGAGCUGCAUGGCUCAGUGUGAAAAACUCCGGUGGUAUAAGAUGGACCCGCGUUGGAUUAGCUUGUUGGUGGGGUAACGGCCCACCAAGGCGACGAUCCAUAGCCGGCCUGAGAGGGUGAACGGCCACAUUGGGACUGAGACACGGCCCAGACUCCUACGGGAGGCAGCAGUGGGGAAUAUUGCACAAUGGGGGAAACCCUGAUGCAGCGACGCCGCGUGAAGGAAGAAGUACCUCGGUAUGUAAACUUCUAUCAGCAGGGAAGAUAGUGACGGUACCUGACUAAGAAGCCCCGGCUAACUACGUGCCAGCAGCCGCGGUAAUACGUAGGGGGCAAGCGUUAUCCGGAUUUACUGGGUGUAAAGGGAGCGUAGACGGUGUGGCAAGUCUGAUGUGAAAGGCAUGGGCUCAACCUGUGGACUGCAUUGGAAACUGUCAUACUUGAGUGCCGGAGGGGUAAGCGGAAUUCCUAGUGUAGCGGUGAAAUGCGUAGAUAUU